UACGUAGGGUGCAGGCGUUAAUCGGAAUUACUGGGCGUAAAGCGUGCGCAGGCGGUCUAGUAAGACAGGUGUGAAAUCCCCGGGCUUAGCCUGGGAACUGCGCUUGUAACUGAUAGGCUUGAGUGUGGCAGAGGGGGGUGGAAUUCCAGGUGUAGCAGCGAAAUGCGUAGAUAUCUGGAGGAACACCGAUGGCGAAGGCAGCCCCCUGGGCUAACACUGACGCUCAUGCACGAAAGCGUGGGGAGCAAACAGG
rnacentral:rRNA from 1 species